CCUACGGGUGGCAGCAGUAGGGAAUAUUGCACAAUGGGGGAAACCCUGAAGCAGCAACGCCGCGUGGAGGAUGAAGGUUUUCGGAUUGUAAACCCCUUUUGUUAGAGAAGAUAAUGACGGUACCUAACGAAUAAGCACCGGCUAACUCCGUGCCAGCAGCCGCGGUAAUACGGAGGGUGCAAGCGUUACUCGGAUUCACUGGGCGUAAAGAGCGCGUAGGCGGGAUAGCAAGUCAGAUGUGAAAUCCGAGGGCGUAACCAUAGUACUGCAUUUGAAACUGUUAGUCUAGAGUAUGGGAGGGGGAGGUGGAAUUCUUGGUGUAGUGGUGAAAUGCGUAGAGAUCAAGAGGAAUACUCAUUGCGAAGGCGACCGGCUAGAACAUAACUGACGCUGAGGCGCGAAAGCGUGGGGAGCAAACAGGAUUAGAUACCCGAGUAGUC
rnacentral:rRNA from 1 species